AUUGAACGCUGGCGGCAUGCCUUACACAUGCAAGUCGAACGGUAACAGGUCUUCGGAUGCUGACGAGUGGCGAACGGGUGGGUAAUGCAUCGGAACGUGCCCAGUAGUGGGGGAUAGCCCGGCGAAAGCCGGAUUAAUACCGCAUACGACCUGAGGGUGAAAGGGGGGGAUCGCAAGACCUCUCGCUAUUGGAGCGGCCGAUGUCAGAUUAGCUAGUUGGUGGGGUAAAGGCCUACCAAGGCAACGAUCUGUAGUUGGUCUGAGAGGACGACCAGCCACACCGGGACUGAGACACUGCCCAGACUCCUACGGGAGGCAGCAGUGGGGAAUUUUGGACAAUGGGCGCAAGCCUGAUCCAGCAAUGCCGCGUGCAGGAAGAAGGCCUUCGGGUUGUAAACUGCUUUUGUCAGGGAAGAAAUCUUCUGGGUUAAUACCUCGGGAGGAUGACGGUACCUGAAGAAUAAGCACCGGCUAACUACGUGCCAGCCGCCGCCGUAAAAC
rnacentral:rRNA from 1 species